rnacentral:rRNA from 1 species
AUGCUGAGCUCGCUGAGGUACCUGGCCGGCUCGGCGGGCCCGAGCGGCUACGGCUCGCGCACCACCGCGGACGAGGCCACCCUGCCCGCCGGCGACCUGAGCCACAUCACCGCCAUCGUCACCGGCGCGACCUCGGGCAUCGGCGCCGAGACGGCCCGCGUGCUGGCCCGGCGCGGCGCCAGGCUCGUGCUCCCGGCGCGCAACCUCAAGGCGGCCGAGGAGACCCGCGCCCGCAUCCUCGCCGACCUCGGGGACGCCGGCUCCGGCGGCGGCCGCGUCGUGGUGCUCCCGCUCGACCUCUCCUCCCUCGCCUCCGUCCGCCGCUUCGUCCACCGCUUCCUCGCCCUCCGCCUCCCCCUCAACCUCCUCAUAAACAACGCGGGGCAGUACGCGGAGCGGUUCGCGGUGUCGGAGGACGGCGUGGAGAUGACCUUCGCCACCAACUACCUGGGCCACUUCCUGCUCACGGAGCUGCUUCUGCCCGCCAUGGCGGACACGGCCAGGGCCACCGGCGUGCAGGGCCGCGUCGUGAACGUCUCCUCCACCGUGCACGCCUGGUUCGCCGCCGACGCCGGCGACGACGGGCCCCUCGCCUACCUCCACCGCGUCACCCGCAAGGCCACGCCGUACGAUCCGACGCGGGCCUACGCGCUGUCCAAGCUCGCCAACGUGCUCCACACCACGGCCCUCGCCGGCCGGCUCAGGGAGAUGGGCGCCGACGUCACCGCCAACUGCGUCCACCCCGGCAUCGUCCGCACCCGCCUCAUCCGCGACCGCGCCGGCCUCGUCACCAACACGGUGUUCUUCCUGGCGUCCAAGCUCCUCAAGACGGUCCCCCAGGCGGCGGCGACGACGUGCUACGCGGCGGUGCACCCGGCGGUGGCGGGGGUGUCGGGGAGGUACUUCGCCGACUGCAACGAGGCGGCGCCGUCGAGGCUGGCGUGCAGCGCCGAGGAGGCCUCCAGGCUGUGGAGCUUCUCCGAGGCCAUCACCGCCGAGAAGGAGAAGGAGGAGAGUGCUCUUCCCGUCACCAGCUUCAGGUUCCAGGUCCAGAGCUCCAACGCCGACCGCGGCAUGGCCAUCGCAUAG